GCGCAGGCUGCCAUUUCGUUCAACCCAAACAACAAACAAAUGGAGGGCAUCCAUGGGGUUGCACAAUCAAUUUAAGGAGACCUACAAGCUUAUUUCCAUGGACCCCAUGGGGUUGUUUGACCCAUUGACCCCACUGUGGGUCUGUCCCUGCCCAUUAACCAUGAAAAUCUUCACCUUCCAUCACAACCCAAUCAACAACAACCAUUAUCAAUACCAUCUUCUCCAUCAUUAUCAUCUUUGUUGUCGUCCCCGUUGUCCUCAUCAAGUACAGACCCAAUAUCAAGAUUAUUCUUUAGAUUCUCUUAACUCUUAUCGCUAUGUUUUUCCCUCUUUUUUGUGGUAAAGAGGGGGCCAAGCCCAAAU
rnacentral:lncRNA from 1 species